GCCUGUAGUACUCACAGGUGCAUCUGCUGUUCAAUUCUGCACCAUUGAAUCAGAGAUGUGUGUAAAACAUUGCGGACAAUGAAUUUCAAAGCCCUUGCAUUCAUCAGGACAGUUCACAAGAAACACCAAAGUAAAGAGAAAAUAACAUCCAAGCUGUACGAGAGUAUAAACUCUCCAGGUGAAUCCUGCUGACGACAAGACCUCCUAAAUUUACAAAGGGGCCAGCAACUUCAGAAAUCCAUGAAGGACAGUGAGCAGCACUGCUGCACCCGACAGCAGCAGAUUCUCUGCUAGGGAGUGGGGAAUGCAUAGAUUCUCUACAGGCUAUAUUCAGCACCCAGAUGUCCAACAAGUCUCCACCACGAACUCAGGAUCUUCAGUUUUUGGGUCCCCCUUUCACAGGUCUUCAUUUUGAUAUGGGUGCAACACUAGGCCAAGCACACUUCAAUAAAGAUCCUGAAGCAACAGCAGCCUGAAUUGCCUUGUCCACCAUGUGGUGGGGCUAAGUGUAGAAGGAACCAGGAUGCUAGAGGUGUUCAGAUGCAUGGCUCUGGUGAUGCAUUCAAGAGCAUGACAGCUGUCCUGCAAGGCAGAGGACAGUAUUUGAGACACCAUAUUUGAAAAUUCUGUGAGCAAACACAUGUACGAAUUGGUGAAGGCCAACUGGAUGCAAUUAUCCUGUUGUGAGCGAUUAGACUAAAAGAAUAUUGACUGCA